ACGGGUGAGUAACACGUAGGUAACCUGCCUAUGAGACUGGGAUAACUAUCGGAAACGAUAGCUAAGACCGGAUAACUGGUUUUCUCGCAUGAGAGAAUCAUGAAACACGGAGCAAUCUGUGGCUUAUAGAUGGGCCUGCGGCGCAUUAGCUAGUUGGUAGGGUAAUGGCCUACCAAGGCGACGAUGCGUAGCCGACCUGAGAGGGUGACCGGCCACACUGGGACUGAGACACGGCCCAGACUCCUACGGGAGGCAGCAGUAGGGAAUCUUCCGCAAUGGACGCAAGUCUGACGGAGCAACGCCGCGUGAGUGAUGAAGGUUUUCGGAUUGUAAAGCUCUGUUGCCCUAGACGAACAGCAUGAGGAGUAACUGCCUUAUGUGUGACGGUAUAGGAGAAGAAAGCCCCGGCUAACUACGUGCCAGCAGCCGCGGUAAUACGUAGGGGGCAAGCGUUGUCCGGAAUUAUUGGGCGUAAAGCGCGCGCAGGCGGUUAAUUAAGUUGGGUGUUUAAGCCCGGGGCUCAACCCCGGUUCGCAUCCAAAACUGGUUGACUUGAGUGUAGGAGAGGAAAGUGGAAUUCCACGUGU
rnacentral:rRNA from 1 species